GGGCGUGGGGGGACAGGAACCGGAAACGGAUGGGGAGCUGGUCCAGGCUAGGAUCAGAACACAAUAACUUGAUCUGUCAACCUAUUGUGUCAAUCUUGAAACAACAACCUCAUCUGGGGAAGAGGUUGUACUUGUCUGGAGAUUGAAAAGGAGUAGUCCCUGCCCUGUGGGAGGCCCACAUGUGAUGGAAACACACCCAGAGCCUGGAAAACUGUGAGAAGCAAGCAGAGUGCCAAGUAAGCAACUGAGCUUUGAAUGAACUGAUGAUAAAGAAGCAGAGGAGAGUUGGUUAGCACAGGUUCCCCGGCGAUGGGCUUGCCUAGCAUGUGCAAGGCCCUGGGUUCAGUUCCUAAACACCACAAAAACGAAAGUAAAACACACAUACACACACAUACAUAUACCUUUUUUUUUUUUUGUACUGGGGAUUGAUCUCAGGGGCACUUGAUCACUGAGCCACAUCCCCAGCCCUAUUUUGUAUUUUUUUUAGAGACAGGGUCUCAUUGAGUUGCUUAGUGCCUUGCCAUUGCUGAGGCUGGCUUUGAGCUUAUGAUCCUCCUGCCUCAGCCUCCUGAGCCACUGGGAUUACAGACAUGUGUCACUGCACCCGACCAUAUACAUUUUUUAAAAAGGCUACAGAUGUCGUUCAGUACUUGAGUGCUUGCUAACAUGCUCAAGGCCUGGGUUUGACCCCUAGCAUAUGUGUGUGUGUGUGUGUACAUACACUCAUAAAAUAAUGGUUCUUUGGUAGAAGGUAUUUUUUAUUCUUUUUAGUUGUACAUGACAGUAGAAUGUAUUUUGACAUGUUAUACAUACAUGGAGUACAACUGAUAGAAGGUAUUUUUAAACAAGAUUGGUAAAGUAAGGAUGGCCAGCACUGAACAGGUGUUUGUUGAGUACUUAUAAGGACCAGGACCUUGAAUUAUGGAGGGAAAUUGAACAGGGCCUGGCCUAUUACCUACCGAAGUCUAAUUGGGGAGGCAAGAUGUGAAUUUGUGAAGACUCCACUAAGCAUGGUGACAUGCCUUCACUAACCAUCAGAAUCACCUUGUUUAAAAUGCAGAUACUAAGGCCUCACAGCCUCCCUUCUUGUGUGUGGGGUUGGGAAUCUAUCAAAGGGUGGUUUGAGCUUCAUUUUGGAGGCUGGGUAUCAUUUGGAUGAGUGGAAGGGUGGGAAAGUCAUAAUCCAAGUUGACUGGAUGGCUGUUGAAUGAUGUCUGGUUAACUUAAGGAAUCUAUUUGGUUGGGAUUUUAGUAAUGGCAUGUGCACGAUUUUGGUAGUUUUGGUAGGGAAGCCAUUUUGAAAUUGUAAGUGGAAUGGUCAGUUUGGAACAGUGGGUUUGGAUAGGAAUGCUGGGAAAGAAUGGCUUUGCAAUUAACUCCCUUUUCUUCCCUCUUUCUCCCAUUCCUCUGCUCACCUAUAUAUAACAUCUCAUUUCAUCCUUAUAACAGCACUAUGAAGUGGGUAUUAUUAUUCUUAGUAUUUGGAUGAAGAGACUUGAGGCCCUGACCACGGUUGCAUUGCUUGCAAGGCUGUUCUGAGUCUGGUAAUCAUCCUACUCACCACUGAGGAAUCUUGAAUGUGUGAAAGAAAUUGGGCUUGGGCUAAGGGCUUGUAGAAUUAGUGGGGGGGCUGAUAAAACCAUCUAAGGCAAGAUGGGAGUGGGUGGUUGAGAGCAUAGUGUGGGUUCAAAUCCCAGCUUCAUUACUUUCUAACUGUGUGACCCUGGGCAAUUGCUUGAUCUUGCUAAGCCUCAGUCUCCUCGCUUGUAACAUGGGAGCAAUAAUACCCACCUCAUGGGGUUGUUAUGAAGAUCAAUGAAGUGUACGUGGCUUAGAGCAAUUGCUCACCACCUGGAAGCUAUUGUAAUUAGCCUUCGCAGAUCUCUGGGCUGUGGCUGUGCACCUGCAUCUCAUUCAUCAGCACAGUGGUUUCCAGGACACAGCCAUCCUGACUGGACUUGUUUUAAGGAUGACAUUGUGCAGAGAGGAUGCCACCAGUAAAUGUGUAUUGAAACCUACUGUAUGCUCAGCAUGGCCUAGGAACUAGUGACUCAGACUCAUGCCUAAUGGAAGGAGGUUUGGAGUGGGGGAUGGUUGGUGGUUUUGGCUCAUUUUCUCUGGGUGAUGAAUAAAGAGGAAGGAAAUUAAAAGUGGGGAGGAGAAGAGCCUUCAUUAUCAAGAACUGAGGUGAGCUUGGGCCUACUGGACAAUUGAUGGAUUACUAACAUGAUUUCCUAGGUCUCUUCUGAGCCCAGGAAAAUGGUAGUAGGGGCCCUACCCAGCAUAGAUUUCUUCCACUCUGGGCUGAGGGCUGAUGAGACCUCUGUCCUCCUCUAUUCCAGGUGACAGCAGCAUGGCUGUACCCCAGGCUUUCCCACUGGGGCCCCUCCACGAGCCUGUAGGUGCCCUGAUGGAGCCCCAGCUAUGUCCUCAAAGCUUGGCUGAGGGCUUCCUGCAGGAGGAGCUUCGGCUUAAUGCUGAGCUAAGGCAACUGCAGUUUUCAGAGCCUGUGGGCAUCAUCUACAAUCCAGUGGAUUACGCAUGGGAGCCACAUCGCACCUACGUGACUCGUUACUGCCAGGGCCCCAAGGAAGUGCUCUUCCUCGGCAUGAACCCGGGACCUUUUGGCAUGGCUCAGACUGGGGUGCCCUUUGGGGAAGUAAGCAUGGUUCGAGACUGGUUGGGCAUUGGGGGGUCUGUGUCAUCUCCUCCCCAGGAGCAUCCCAAGCGACCAGUGCUGGGACUGGAGUGCCCACAGACAGAGGUGAGCGGUGCCCGAUUCUGGGGCUUUUUCCGGAACCUCUGUGGACAGCCUGAAGUCUUCUUCCGUCACUGCUUUGUCCACAAUCUGUGUCCUCUGCUCUUCCUGGCUCCCAGUGGGCGCAACCUCACCCCUGCUGAGCUGCCUGCAAAGCAGAGAGAACAGCUUCUUGGGAUUUGCGACGCAGCCCUCUGCCGGCAGGUGCAGCUGCUGGGGGUGCGGCUGGUAGUAGGAGUGGGGCGACUGGCAGAGCAGCGGGCACGACGGGCCCUGGCAGGUCUGAUGCCAGAGGUCCAGGUGGAGGGGCUCCUGCAUCCUUCUCCCCGGAGCCCACAGGCCAACAAGGGCUGGGAGGUGGUAGCCAAGGAAAGGCUCAAUGAGUUGGGAUUGCUGCCUCUGCUAACAAAAUGAGUGUCCCUAGGGCCUGGCCUAGGACAGUCAAGGCCCCCAAGUCAUUCUUGCACAGGCAGAUGACUACACACCGCCUGGACUGGUGCAACAGGGCCUUCCUGGGCUUUCUGUUGCCAGGAAACAUGUUCUUUGAUCUGUUGAACUGUCCCCCAGCCUGCAGAGGCAGUCUCUAAUUACCAGGUGUUGGCUCCACAGAAUCAGCAGAAGUAUUCUUUUUGUGAGACUUGUGAACUCUGAUGGAAAAAUGGAUUAACCUCUCUAAGUCUCAGGAUCCUCAUCUGUAAAUGGAGAUACCUCCCUCACGGGGUUGUUUGAGGAUUAACUGAGAAAACACUUGAAGUGCCUUGUGAUGGCCUGGCACUCGGGUGCUCACUACAUAGCUUUCUUGCUUUCUGUCUGGGUUGGGCAGUCAUUGCACUACAGAGGAAACCCCUUUCCACUUUGAAAGCCUGGCUGGGGUCGGGAAGUCUUGCCUACCAGAAAUGGAUCAUGACUUUAUGAAAACCCAACCUGCCAUUCUUCAAUUUAAGCAUUAAAAGUUCCUAAACUCUU